GGCCAGAGGCUCCGCUGGGGUCCGCCCGCCCCCACCCCACUCCACUCACUGCCGCCCCCACCGCCCCGGCCCGGCUCAGACCCCCGCUCCCUGAGCACAGGCCUCUGAUGUCAUUUCCUGACCUGCCCUCCCCCCGCGCCCGACCCGCGGGUGCCCGAGAUCUGACUCACCGUCCCCCUCCGGGCUUAGCCGGCGGAGGUAGCGCGGGUGCAGCAGAGGUAGCCACGCAGCCCCUGUGCGCCUCCAGCCCGGCCCAGCGACCUCCCCUCGGGCCUGCCGUUACCCGGUCCCCUCCCGCCACCACCCGCUACCCGACCACCUCCGAGUCCGCCUGGGGUGGCCGAACGAGACCCCGGGCGACGGUGGGGCUCUUGGGCAUUCUGAGACUGCGCUUGGUGGAGCCCCCUACUGGCCCGACCGGAUUUCUCAGCCUGCGACUCAGCCCCAGGCUACGCGAAAGAGGCCGGACCCGGCUUUUACUGCCUCCUGAGGCCUUCCUCUUGUUCACACUGAGUGUCCAGUCCUUCCAAAUCUGACUACACUCUACUGGCAAGGAACACCUGGGCCAUGUUUUAGAGAUCAUCUGAAGACUAACCCCAAAAGUUUAUGAAGAGAAAGCGGAGGCCAAGCUGGAGAUGGACCCGGGUCACACCCAGGUAGAGGCAGGAUCUAAACUCAAACUGGUGUCAAAUCUGGUUGCCUUGCACCCCUGAUACCAGGUGAAGCAACACUGGGCAGGAUCCAGCAGAGUGAAGUCAGAGUGUGAAGACCCAGCCUGAUGCCCAAACUGAUGCCUCUUCAUUCUCCCCCGCUCCGUCUGUAAAUAAUCCAUCUACUUUAUUGCAUUAUAUGGAGAAAUAAAUGAAAUGUCAUAGCUGUAUGCUCUAUAUGA
rnacentral:lncRNA from 1 species